GUACUGCUUGUUUCGGCAGUACAUACACUAAAAUUGGAACAAUACAGAGAAUAUUAGCAUGGCCCCUGUGCAAGGAUGACACCCAAAUUCAUGAAGUGUUCAUAUUUUUA